rnacentral:tRNA from 1 species
GCUCUGGUGGCUCAGUGGUUAAGCAUCGAGCUAUGAACCAGGAGGUCACGGGUUCAAUUCCUGGUCAGGGCA